ACUCCUGCGGGAGGCAGCAGUGGGGAAUAUUGCACAAUGGGCGCAAGCCUGAUGCAGCCAUGCCGCGUGUAUGAAGAAGGCCUUCGGGUUGUAAAGUACUUUCAGUCGGGAGGAAGGUGGUGAGCUUAAUACGCUCAUCAAUUGACGUUACCGACAGAAGAAGCACCGGCUAACUCCGUGCCAGCAGCCGCGGUAAUACGGAGGGUGCAAGCGUUAAUCGGAAUUACUGGGCGUAAAGCGCAAGCAGGCGGUUGAUUGAGUCAGAUGUGAAAUCCCCGGGCUUAACCCGGGAAUUGCAUCUGAUACUGGUCAGCUAGAGUCUUGUAGAGGGGGGUAGAAUUCCAUGUGUAGCGGUGAAAUGCGGAGAGAUGUGGAGGAAUACCGGUGGCGAAGGCGGCCCCCUGGACAAAGACUGACGCUCAGGUGCGAAAGCGUGGGGAGCAAACAGGAUUAGAAACCCUGGUAGUCCCAUGA
rnacentral:rRNA from 1 species